UAGGAUACGAUCAUACAAAGACUGGCAAUUUUGGCAUUUACUUUAGUAAUUGAAAGUCUCUAUAUAUUCGCACAUUCUUUUAUGAAAUCAAAACUAAAGAGGAAAUUAGUAUUACCUCUUGGUUCCUUUGGCUCCCUUCUCGUUUCUUUCAUAAUUUUAUAAUACCUGCUCUUAUUACUUAGGAUCUAUUUUUGUCUACCGUUUCCUUUUAGUGGAAACCACCAUGUGAACAUUCUAUUCCAUUUUGUUAAUUUUUUUGUUAUUUUGUAUGUGUAUGUGUGUCUGGUGUGUGUUUUUCAUUUGUAUAUUUCCUAGAUUGUUAUCGUUAAUCUCUCCUCACCAUUUAAUUUCUUUUGUACUUACAAUGUUAAAUAACUGUCUUAGGUUCUUGGAUCUUAAAUUGCAUUAGUUUAACAUGGGUGAAUAUUUUAGUAGAUGGCAAGGCUACGGCAGCAGAGAAGAAAAAUUCCAAGGAUGAAACAUCUUUGAAAGAUUCGCACGAAGGACAAAAACCUGCUUCUGAAUCUUUUGUUUGUUUAGAUGACAAGGCUGCUGUAGCAGAGAAUAAAAACUCCAAGGAUGAAACAUCUUCGAAAGAUUCACAGGGAGGAUAAAGAGCUACUUCUGGAUAUGCACCUAGGUUUCCACCCAACCCUUUUAAUUUCUCCGCAAUGUCUGGUUUGCUCAAUUUUUUUUGGAUCUUAGUGGUGCAUUGUUUUAAAGCAAUAGUGAGACAACAAUAUAAACCAUGCAUUUCAAGUCCAUAUUACUAAUGCUAAAAUCCAGAAUGCAUAAGAUCCAAGUAUCAAGGAACUAGCUGAGCAGAUAGCAAAAGACCCAUCGUUCAAUCAAAUAAUGGUUGAGCAGCUUCAGAAAACUUUUCAUGGUGCAACAUAGGAUAGUAUCUCUAGCUUCGAUAAUCAGCAAUAUUAUUCUACCAUGCAGCAGCUGAUGCAGAAUCCUAACUUCAUGGCCAUGGCUGAGCGCCUGGGUAAUGCAUUGAUGCAGGAUCCAUCUAUGUCUUCCAUGCUUAAAAGUCUUACUAGUCCUUCAAAUAAAGAUCAGCUUGAGGAGAGAAUGGCACGCAUAAAAGAAGAUCUAUCUUUGAAGCAUAUUUUAGAUGAGAUAGAGACUGGUGGUCCUACUGCUAUGAUGAGGUUUAGAUGGAAAAAUUUCUUAUCUUUUUGGCCAUUUCGAAAUUUCUAUU